GAUGAACGCUGGCGGCGUGCCUAAUACAUGCAAGUCGAGCGAACGGACGAGAAGCUUGCUUCUCUGAUGUUAGCGGCGGACGGGUGAGUAACACGUGGAUAACCUACCUAUAAGACUGGGAUAACUUCGGGAAACCGGAGCUAAUACCGGAUAAUAUUUUGAACCGCAUGGUUCAAAAGUGAAAGACGGUCUUGCGGUAACUUCUAGCUGGAUACGCGCUGCAUUAGCUAGUUGGUAAGGUAACGGCUUACCAAGGCAAGGAGGCGUAGCCGACCUGAGAGAGUGGUAGGCCACACGGGAGGUGAGCCAGGGUCCAGACUCCUACGGGAGGCCGCAGUCGGGAAUCGUACGCAAUGGGCGAGAGCCUGACGGAGCAACGCCGCGUGAGUUAUGACAGUCUUCGGAUCGUAAAGCUCUGUUAUUAGGGAAGAACAUAUGUGUACGUAACCGUGCCGAUCUUGACGGUACCUAGUCAGAAAGCCCCGGCUAACUACGUG
rnacentral:rRNA from 1 species